UGAAAAUAUGAAAUAGUACUUUGUAUCCCAAAUAAUGUUUGGUGCUGAAAACUUCUUCGGUUCAAAACAAUGUAAUCAUUAUAGGUGUUUCUAAGUGCCCAUUAUAGUGGAGAGGACUUGGUGCCAAAAUUCAAAGAAGGAGAAGCAUGGAAGAAGGUUUUUGGUCCAGUUUUCAUUUAUUUGAAUUCUCCUAAUGACGAUAAUGGUGAUGUUGAACCCCAUAAAAUGCUCUGGGAAGAUGCUAAACUUCAGAUGAAUGUAGAAGUACAAAGUUGGCCUUACACUUUUCCCGAAUCAGAUGAUUACCCAAAGUGGUACGAACGGGGUAUUGUUACUGGCAGGUUAUUAGUUAGAGAGAGGUA